AGCUUUUCAGCCUUUUAGGGAAUGUUCAAGUGUACUGUGUGUUCUUACCAGUUUCUUAUCUGAUAGGUGGCUGCAAGGAUUUGCUGUUAAAUAGCAUUAUGGAGACAGGAGAUGCUUUGGGAGCUCACUGCAGCCACUUCACACGUGGCCCUGGUGUCGCAGUACCUCCUGGUGUGCUGUUGGCCCU
rfam:Egretta garzetta contig3643, whole genome shotgun sequence.